AGCAGCCGCGGUAAUUCCAGCUCCAAUAGCGUAUAUUAAAGUUGUUGCAGUUAAAAAAGCUCGUAGUUGAAUUUCGGGAUCAGUACGGUGGUCGUGCCUCCGGUAUGUACUGUUGUUACUGGUUCCUCCCUUCUGAAGAACUAUCAUGUCAUUAAUUUGGUGUGGUGGGGAAUCAGGACUGUUACUUUAGAAAAAAUUAGAGUGUUUAAAGCAGGCUCGCGCUUGAAUACAUUAGCAUGGGAUAAUGAAAUAGGACGUUUGAUCCUAUUUUGUUGGUUUCUAGGAUUGACGUAAUGAUUAAUAGGGAUAGUUGGGGGCAUUAGUAUUCAAUUGUCAGAGGUGAAAUUCUUGGAUUUAUUGAAGACUAACUACUGCGAAAGCAUUUGCCAAGGAUGUUUUCAUUAAUCAAGAACGAAAGUUAGGGGAUCGAAGACGAUCAGAUACCGUCGUAGUCUUAACCAUAAACUAUGCCGACUAGGGAUUGGAUGAUGUUAAUUUUAUAAUGACUCAUUC
rnacentral:rRNA from 1 species